rnacentral:lncRNA from 1 species
GGCUCAUUAAAAUGACAUAUUAUGAUGUACUUUACUUGCUUUGGUUUCUCUGCUGAAAUGUUGAUCAAUGUGUUCCUCAAUGAAAUGAAAUGUUCGUCAUUGUCUUCUCCUGCUACCUGAAAAAGGAAGGUCUACUGAAUCUCUACUAGUAGACACCAUUGAUCUCCACUGAUUUACAAGAAUAAUAAUGUGAAACCAAUGAAAACAUGAUGGCAUGCAGCACAGACGGAAGUAGUGAAUUCUGGCAUUAAACAACUGAGAGGAAGGUGCUAAAGUGGAUGGCUCCCUUUAUGGAAGAAUGAUGGAUGGUAGAAACUCUAUUGGGGGAAGGAAAAGAAGCAUACUACACCCAUCUCAGAGCUGGCCUCAUGAGGAAGUCGCGCUGCCACAGGAACCAUUGUCAUCUCUGUGUCAAGUUCACGAAGUUCACAAAUAAGCAAAGAGAAAAAAAUUGUUUCUCAACUGAACUGGUAUAUCAGCUGUUUCCUGCAGAUUUAGUGAUAAUUCAUCUAUCUUCUCAUGAAGACUGAGGAUUACAAGAAACUAUGCUAGAAGCUGCUAUAAGAGGACUGUCCCUUUUGAUGGAUCGUGACAUCUGACACUCCAUUGGUCCUUAAGGUGAAUUUGACUAAGUAUUUAGUUAAAUCAAAAUGCUUGUUAUAACAUAGCCCUGUUAUGAUAACUCU